AGAUUUAGAGUGGUUCGGUCAAUCUUGACCUGCUCCACUUUUGGCUUCCUCAAUCGACGAGGUCACCGACGUCAACUAGAGGCCUUCCUUCAAUAGGCGAAGGCCAACCACCCUUUUACAGUUUCACUCCUUUUGACGGGCUUAGGAGACAACCCUUACAAAAAUUUUCUCUCCUCUCUUUACAACUCAAAACUUUGAAGAACAGAGGGAGGAGAACUUUUGGCCU
rnacentral:lncRNA from 1 species